GCUGCGCCGAGCCGAGCCGGGCCGGGCCGAACCGAGCCGAGCCGGCGGGAGGCGCUGCAGCGCGCCCUGUGGCGCCUCGUGCAUCCGUGAGGGAAAAGGCGGGAACGUGUGUGAGGGAAGGAGAGAGAGAGGAGAGGGAGUGGGCGUUUGCUCUCACUUGUAAAAAUCUACGUGUAAAAUUUAACGUGGUUUUUAAUGAGAAAUACGCUCUGCCAAGCACUGUAUAGACGCAUUUAAAAGGAUGCUUGCAGAACCACCUGCUCCACCAGCCAGGAUUCUGAGCAUUGCAGGACCCAGAAUUUAACCUUACCACAACUUUGCUUGUGGAAUUGUUACACGUCGCUUGACCUACGGUAAAAAGAAAAGCCGAGACAGCUCUUUGCACAGCUCUUUACUAUCAUUCUUCCUCUCCUUAUCUCCUUCUCAUCUCGUCAGAAUCAAAAAAGCCAUCUUUCAUGUCAUGAGCUCCAUUACAGUACGAACCGUCAUUAAUAUGAGCUUAUGUAGAGCUUACUGAAAUAGAAUCUCAAAUAAAAUGGGAUUACAGCUCCUGGUAAUGUUGGCUCAGAAGAACUGGUGGUGCUGAAGAGGAGAUAAAUCAUUUCAGGCUGGUGAUGAUGAACUGGAGGAAUGAGAUUUUGAGCAGCUCCUGUCAGAAGGUAUGAUUUUGAGACCUGGGUACGGAGUGGGGAGUCCUGAAUGGAACCAUUAAGUUCAUUGCCUGAGGGAAAAGGUCUUUGGAAAUUGAUGCAAUUUACACUUUGAAUCUCGAGGCAAUAGACUGAGAGUUGUAUUUUGAAUCUUGUAAGCAAUACAGAGGUAUUGGUUCUCAGUUGUCUCCCUAAACUUUUUUAUGACAGUUUACUUGGUUUUUAUGUAGAAGUUGUCCUCAGAGCGGCACAGUAACUUAGCUAGUAAUCUGUAAAUACCAAACAUUCACUACUUGCAUUGCAUGCUUGAGUUUGCAUUGUAAAGUAUGUUUAACAUGAGAAAGUCGCUGCACAUGGAUGCCUGAUGCAUGAGGAGUUAGACGGAACAGGAAGCCCAGGUUGUAUUUCCAUUUUGACCAGAUCCUCAGAGAAGCAGUUUUUGAAUGGCUCAGGUUGGUUCCAGACAGUCUAGAGUAGGCUAAGAUGGGCAGUGUGAAGAAAUGAGGGGAACAAAAGGGAGAUUAAGUAGCAAAGGUUGGCUUCAAAGGCUGCUUUAAAUCAGAUUAACAACAAAAUGUUCUGCAGUUUAGCAUCAGCUCCUUAGACUUUGUCAUGGAAUGCCGUGCAACAGAUGGACUAAACAACACCCAAGUGCCGUGAGGAGAGUGAGCAAAAAAAGGAAAAGCAAAGAGUGCCAUUUCCCCUUUUCAGAAUAACUCUCACUGCAUACUUUUCAUAGCAUCAUAUCCCUCUCUGCUAGCAGUUGCUGUAGUUUUUGUGAAAUGUCAGGUAUUUUUAAACAAGGGUUGUUUGCUUUCGAAGGAGAAGGCUGGCAAAUCGCUAGCCCGUAUCUGGAUUGCAGAGGAAACUGUGCUGCCUCCAAGGCUGAGUCCGUGCUGCUGGGGUGAGCAUUCUCAUGGGACGACUGCUAGUUAAAAAA